rnacentral:rRNA from 1 species
CUUGGCGGCAAUAGCGCGGUGGUCCCACCUGAUCCCAUGCCGAACUCAUAAGUGAAACGUCGUAGAGCCUAUGGUAGCGUGGGGUGUCCCCAUGUGAGAUUAGUGAACUGCCAAGC